rnacentral:rRNA from 1 species
GGUGCAAGUGCGUAGGCCGAGUGAUAGGCAAAUCCGUCACUCAUACAGGCUGAGACACGAUGCGGAUAAAAAGUGGGUGAUCCUAUGCUGCCAAGAAAAGCAUCGACGCGAGGUUCAAGCCGCCCGUACCCCAAACCGACUCAGGUGGUCAGGUAGAGAAUACCAAGGAGAUCGAGAGAAUCGUGGUUAAGGAACUCGGCAAAAUGCCCCCGUAACUUCGGGAGAAGGGGGGCCGGAUCCGUGAACCCACUUGCUGGGGGAAGCGGUGAUGGCCGCAGAGACCAGGGGAAAGCGACUGUUUACUAAAAACACAGGUCCGUGCGAAGUCGCAAGACGAUGUAUAUGGACUGACGCCUGCCCGGUGCUGGAAGGUUAAGAGGACCGGUUAGUUCCUUCGGGAGCGAAGCUGAGAAUUUAAGCCCCAGUAAACGGCGGUGGUAACUAUAACCAUCCUAAGGUAGCGAAAUUCCUUGUCGGGUAAGUUCCGAUCUGCACGAAUGGCGUAACGACU